GUUUUCCUGGGGUGUGCGUUACGCUUUGUAUUUUAAACCCACAUUCUAAAUUCGGGAAUCUGGGUUUUACAGCGGUGAGCAAGUCUGUUACGUGCGGAAAGCCUGAAGCUGUAAACAAGGUACCCACCUGCCGUGAGGCGGGUUUUAGAAGCAAGGCGGACGGCACUUUGGGGUAAUU
rfam:Christensenella minuta strain DSM 22607 genomic scaffold Scaffold234, whole genome shotgun sequence.